rnacentral:lncRNA from 1 species
CUAUCUAGAUAUAUAGGCAUGUCAAGACAGUGUCCCUCAUGCACCCAGUCGUGACACAGCUGCGAGUUGUAAUUUUUCUCGGCACCUUGGUGCCCUAAACUAUUUCGGAUCAUCUUUCACUGUCCUAAGUUAUACAUUUCAACAUUUAAGUUCCCUUUUUGGCAUGCAUAAACAAAUUGACACUUAGGCAUCAAAAAUUCGAUCAAACAUUGCAAAAUGUAGAAAUUCAAGCACCACACACUUAUAUAUAUGAAACAAUCAACAAACAUGCACACAUUUUAAUUUUUAAAUAGUUUUAAGAUGUAGAAAGUUCAUUAGUAGAG